UGAGGAAUAUUGGGCAACGCCCGCAAGGGUGACCCAGCAACGCCGCGUGGAGGAUGAAUGUCGUAAGAUUGUAAACUCCUGUUAGAGGGGAAGAAUAGUACCGGUUGGACCGGUAUAUGACUGUACCCUCAGAGAAAGCCCCGGCUAACUACGUGCCAGCAGCCGCGGUAAUACGUAGGGGGCAAGCGUUGUCCGGAUUUACUGGGUGUAAAGGGCGCGCAGGCGGGAUAAAAAGUCAGUGGUGAAAUCCUACAGCUUAACUGUAGAACUGCCUUUGAUACUUUUAUUCUUGAGUUCGGGAGAGAGAGACGGAAUUCCAGGUGUAGUGGUGAAAUACGUAGAUAUCUGGAAGAACACCAGUUGCGAAGGCGGUCUCUUGGUCCGACACUGACGCUGAGGCGCGAAAGCGUGGGGAGCAAACA
rnacentral:rRNA from 1 species